rnacentral:tRNA from 2 species
GCGGAAGUGGCGAAAUUGGUAUACGCGCUGGAUUUAGGGUCCAGUGCCGCAAGGCGUGAGAGUUCGAGUCUCUCCUUCCGCACCA